rnacentral:rRNA from 1 species
UACGUAGACAGCAAGCGUUGUUCGGAAUUACUGGGCGUAAAGAGUGUGUAGGCGGUGCUCUAAGUUCGGUGUGAAAUCUCCCGGCUUAACUGGGAGGGUGCGGCGGAAACUGGAAUGCUAGAGGAUGGGAGAGGUAAGCGGAAUUCCUGGUGUAGCGGUGAAAUGCGUAGAUAUCAGGAGGAACACCUGUGGUGUAGACAGCUUACUGGACCAUUUCUGACGCUGAGACACGAAAGCGUGGGUAGCAAACAGG